GACGAACGCUGGCGGCGUGCUUAACACAUGCAAGUCGAACGGAAAGGCCCUGCUUUUGUGGGGUGCUCGAGGGGCGAACGGGUGAGUAACACGUGAGUAACCUGCCCUUGACUUUGGUAUAACUUCAGGAAACUGGGGCUAAUACCGGAUAGGAGCUCCUGCUGCAUGGUGGGGGGUGGAAAGUUUCGGCGGUUGGGGUUGGACUCGCGGCUUAUCAGCUUGUUGGUGGGGUAGUGGCUUACCAAGGCGUUGACGGGUAGCCGGCCUGAGAGGGUGACCGGCCACAUUGGGACUGAGAUACGGCCCAGACUCCUACGGGAGGCAGCAGUGGGGAAUAUUGCACAAUGGGCGGAAGCCUGAUGCAGCAACGCCGCGUGCGGGAUGACGGCCUUCGGGUUGUAAACCGCUUUCGCCUGUGACGAAGCGUGAGUGACGGUAAUGGGUAAAGAAGCACCGGCUAACUACGUG
rnacentral:rRNA from 1 species